rnacentral:rRNA from 1 species
CCCUUAGAUGUUCUGGGUCGCACGCGCGCUACACUGACGAAUGCAACGAGCUUAUAACCUUGGCCGAAAGGUCUGGGUAAUCUCCAAAUUUCGUCGUGAUGGGGAUAGAUUAUUGCAAUUAUUAAUCUUCAACGAGGAAUGCCUAGUAAGCGCAAGUCAUCAGCUUGCGUUGAUUACGUCCCUGCCCUUUGUACACACCGCCCGUCGCUCCUACCGAUUGAAUGGUCCGGUGAAGCGCUCGGACCGCGGCCUCUUGACGGUUUUCCGUCGAUUGGCUGUGGGAAGUUCGUUAAACCUUAUCAUUUAGAGGAAGGAGAAGUCGUANCA